rnacentral:rRNA from 1 species
UACAGAGGUCCCAAGCGUUGUUCGGAUUCAUUGGGCGUAAAGGGUGCGUAGGUGGUGCCGUAAGUCAGGUGUGAAAUCUCGGGGCUCAACCCCGAAACUGCACUUGAUACUGCGGUGCUUGAGGACUGGAGAGGAGAUUGGAAUUCAUGGUGUAGCAGUGAAAUGCGUAGAUAUCAUGAGGAAGACCAGUGGCGAAGGCGGAUCUCUGGACAGUUCCUGACACUGAGGCACGAAGGCCAGGGGAGCAAACGGG